GAUGAAGAACGUAGCGAAAUGCGAUAAGUAGUGUGAAUUGCAGAAUUCAGUGAAUCAUCGAAUCUUUGAACGCACAUUGCGCCCGCCAGCACUCUGGCGGGCAUGCCUGUCCGAGCGUCAUUUCAACCCUCAGGACCCCUCUCUCGGGAGGGGCACUGGUGUUGGGGAUCGGCCCGCCCCCGCGCGGCUGCCGGCCCCGAAAUACAGUGGCGGUCUCGCUGUAGCCUCCCCUGCGUAGUAACAUACCUCGCACUGGAGAGCAGCGCGGCCACGCCGUGAAACCCCCAACUUCUGAAUGUUGACCUCGGAUCAGGUAGGAUUACCCGCUGAACUUAAGCAUAUCAAUAAGCGGAGGA
rnacentral:misc_RNA from 1 species